rnacentral:rRNA from 1 species
ACUCCUACGGGAGGCAGCAGUGGGGAAUUUUGGACAAUGGGCGCAAGCCUGAUCCAGCAAUGCCGCGUGCAGGAUGAAGGCCUUCGGGUUGUAAACUGCUUUUGUACGGAACGAAAAGGCGCCUUCUAAUACAGGGCGCUCAUGACGGUACCGUAAGAAUAAGCACCGGCUAACUACGUGCCAGCAGCCGCGGUAAU